rnacentral:lncRNA from 1 species
GUGAUCGGAGCCUGGCCGCGGCGUGAUCGGGCAGGGCGGGACGCGGCACGUGUUUUGGUCGGAGCGAGGGGCGGGGCCUGAGGCCCUGGAAAGUAAGGGAAAGGAAUGCGUCCUUGACCGGAGAGGUCGGAAAGCUGGCCGGUUCUAGGCCCCGAGAAAACGCCGCCCCCUCCGGGAAGUCCUCGAGCCUGCAGGAGACAUCUAGCCCGCUGUCCAGGGCACCUUUUUUUUUCUCCCUAUAUUUCGGUUGCUCGCGUCUCUUGGUGUGGUUUGCCCACGUCUGCAGCGCCAGGUUCGUGGAGAGCAGGAACCAUGCUGUUUAUUUUCGUCGCCGCAGCCUUCAGCUCAGCGAGGAGCCACCCCUCCUCCGUCUGUUCACUGCGCGCGCCUUUGCUGAGCUGUGAUGCGGGUUGGCGCUCAGUGCAAGGGGCAGAGGCCGCAGUGAGGAAUCCUCCUUUUUUAAAAGCUCCAUCCAGGGAGCGGGAGCAGAGAGAGAAUCCCGGCACCCCGGGGCUUUGCUCUGAGCGAGAGAAUUCUGGUCUUAGGGGAACGGGCUGGGCCCCACCACUCACAUGAGCAGGACUCUGGUCCCCACUUGUUCCUUCGGGGCCCACUCGGGUUGGGCAGAGGGGUUGACCAGGCUGAGGAGAGGGUGUUUGCUGAAAUAGUAAGAGGGUUUAAGACGAAAGAACCGUGAUAAACUGCUCGCAUGAAGACCCCGGAGGCUCUGAGAGGGGCGCAGGGUGUUCUGUGUGUAAAAAGUUAAGUCUUAAGAUACACACUGGAAUAUUCUCUUUUGCCUGGACUCCUGCAUUCGCCUUAUAACUGGUCUCCCUGCGUCCACUCCAGCUCCCAGAGCCUCUUCCCACUCAGCACCCCCAGGGGUCUUUAACCCUUUCAGUGGCUCCCACUGUACUCAGCGUAACGCUUCUGCUCCCCACUGUGGCUUGUGAGCUCCUGCAGGGACCCAGCCCCAUGCCUCUCCCCACGCCCCGGAGGGACAGCCUGGGCCUCCUCUUGGGCGCCUGUCCCACCAGCCCCUCUGCCGUCUCCAGGUCCUCGCACUUGCUGUUCCCUAGAAUGCUUUUCCCCCACAUGCCCCCUUUACUCUCACCCGCAGUCCACCUGGAGAGGCCCCCUCUAGCGGACACACCCUCGGGGCCGACCUCCAGUCCCCUUCUGGCGGGCUUUCUUGUUUUCUUCCUCCACAACACUUUUCUUGAACUGCCCCUUUUCCAUUACUUCAGUUAUUUAUCAUCUGUCUCCCCACCAGAAGGACUCUCCCAAGGCCAGGGAGCCUGGCUGUUUAAUAAGUCCACGUAGGUGAACGAGCGAAUCGAAGGUAUCCACCAGCCUCCCUGCUUGAACAUCCCGUGAGCACCUCUAAUUGUGUCCUUAAAAAAACUGAACUCAGGGCCGGGCGCGGUGGCUCACGCCUGUAAUCCCAGCACUUUGGGAGGCCGAGGCGGGCGGAUCACCUGAGGUCAGGAGUUGAAGACCAGCCCGGCCAACAUGAUGAAACCCCGUCUCUUCUAAAAAUACAAAAAUUAGCCUGGCACGGUGGCAGGCGCCUGUAAUCCCAGCUACUCAGGAGACUAAGGCAGGAGAAUCGCUUGAACCCAGGAGGCAGAGAUUGCAGUGAGCCGAGAUCGCACCACUGCACUCCAGCCUGGGCGUCAGAGACUCAGUCUCAAAAAAACAAACAAAAAACUGAACUCGGAUUCCAGCCAAAUCUGGAUUUCUCACCUCCGUGAAGGGUACAACUGGAGACCCUGUUCCUUGAUCUAGAAACCUGAGCGUCACCUUUACCUCCUCCCUUUCGCACAGUUGCUGUCUUCCGCCAAUUACAUGCCCUUCUUCCUUCUCAGUUCCUCUCAAACUCUUAUGUCACCCACGCCAGCCCUUGUCCUGGCCACCACCUGCUCACCUGAAUUGUUGCCACUGCCUCCCAACAGGUCUCCCUCCCUCCAGCCAGACGCCCUACAAUCUGCCCUCACCUCACUGCCAGAAUGAUCUUCUGGAAGCAGAGGUGGAGCUGAACCUGUAUUCAAGCCGUCAGUUGGAAUCCAAACAGUUAUAGGACUGACUUCAGGCUCCAUGGCCAGGAACCCAUGAGUCUUUGUAGCCAGGCUCCAGCCAGCACUUCCUGCAUCAUUUCUGACCAGUUUCCCAAAUUGCUUUCCCUGCUGCCUUCCUGCCCCCACUGACCCAAUACAGAACCCUGUACUCUCAAGGUCACGCCACUCUCUUCUGUUUCUAGACAGCAUUCCUUCUGCGUGGAACAUGCCAACCCUCGUCUGCUUUGACUUUGCAAAACUGCAUGAGACCGCCGGGCGCGGUGGCUCACGCCUGUAAUCCCAGCACUUCAAGAGGCCGAGGCAGACAGAUCACCUGAGGUCAGGAGUUUGAGGCCAGCCUGGCCAGCAUGGUGAAACCCCGUCUCUACUAAAAAUACAAAAAAUCAGCCAGUAAUCCUAGCUACUCGGGAGGCUGAGGCAGGAGAAUCGCUUGAACCCAGGAAGCAGAGGUUGCAGUGAGCCGAGGUCAUGCCAUUGCACUCCAGCCUGGGCUACAAGAGUGAAACUCCGUCUCAAAAAAGAAAAAAAAAAAGAAAAAAAGACUGCAUAUGACUCCCCAGUGAAGCCCUCCCUGAUUGGCCUCUGCAGAAGGCAGCAUGCCCGGGCUUUGGAGUCAGACCUGCAUACAAAUCCUUGUUUUGCCGGUGUGACCUUGCCAAGUCUUCUUUCCUGCAGGACAGAAGGCGGCAGCAGCUCUCCCUGAACUGGCACUCUGGCUUCUCUUGCCCCAGGGUCUGUUUCUGCUCCUUGGACAGCAGGCGCAUGUGGGAACUGUGCCCUCUUCAGCCAUGAGCCCCUGUUCUGCGCACAUCUAGCCCAUCUUCCAGAUGGACAGACAGUCUGUGGUCGUCGCCAAACCCCUGAAUCUGGCCCUGCCCGCAGUCAGAGGGAUGGCAAUUUGUAAGCUACAGACUAUUGCGAAUCAUUCACUUGGAGACUGAACUAAGACUACUGGCACCAGGCUCCGUAGACCCUCGGGAAGAGCAUGGUCUGGCAGGCAGACUGGAUGUGGCCACAGAUAACAUCCCCUAAGGGGAGAGCGUGAGCCUGCAGGCCAGAAUGCCACCACUUUCUCCUGUGUCGUUCCAGAGAGAGCCUGUGGCUAUGCACGCUUGCUGCUACAGAGGGUAGUGCUGUAUACCUCCUGGGCUCACUUACUGACUUUUCAGUCUAAGGGCUUAUUGCAAUUGGUACAUAACGAUCAUACUUUGUAAUGGUUAAGUAAUAUUCCAUCAUAUGGAUGUGUUGUUUAUUUAACAUUCUGGUUGAAUAACCAAGACUUUUAGGUUUCCAGUUUUCCAGGAACAUCAUGCCCCUCCAUCAUUUGCCCACCUGGAAGGAUAACUACAGGAUAAGCAGCUCUUAGAACUGGAAUUGCUGAGUUAACUGCUCUGUGCAUUUCCUUGCUUUUUCUUGCUUUUCUUUUCUUUCUUUUAUUAUUUUUUUGGGUAAAUUUUUAUUGAACUAUAGCAUAGCGUAGAUACAGGAAAGUGUAAAAACUUAAAUGUACAAUUCAAUGAAUUUUCGCUAGGCAAACACUGUGUCACCAGCACCCAGAUUUAGAAACAGAAUAUUACCAGAAUCCCAAAAGCCCCAUGAGCUGCCGUCCAGUCACUACUUACCGUUUCCCUGAUCCCCUGCAUAGGAUAAUCCUUAUCAUGGCUUCUGACACUUUCGGUUGGUUUUGGAUGUACUGACACUUUUUGUGUGUGUGUGACACUUUUAUAAUACAAAGAAAAUCAUACAGUAUGUUCAGUUUGGGGUCUGGCUUCU